rnacentral:rRNA from 4 species
AGGGAGCCGUCGAAGGUGGGGCUGGCGAUUGGGACGAAGUCGUAACAAGGUAGCCGUACCGGAAGGUGCGGCUGGAUCACCUCCUUUCUAAGGAGCA